CUUCCUACCAAAAAACAUAAACGGUUAGACUUCGUUUGGUUCGGAUAUAAGUAAGAACUACUUAUUUCAAGGAUAAGUACAAGUUCAGAUAUAAAAUAAGAACUAGAUCAAUUUUACGUUUGGAUUUGGUUAUUUUCGAAAAUAAGAAAAUUAGCGUUUAGAUAGAUAAAAUAAAAUAAGAAGAAUAAUGGAUAUAAAUAAAAAAAUAAUAUUAUCCCUCUCGUUAUACUUGAAUUUGAAUUUUUAAAUUUAAAAUUUAAUUUUUAAAAUUAAAAUUUUAAAUUUUAAGUUUCAAAAUUUGAAAUUAGAAUUUAA
rnacentral:lncRNA from 1 species